rnacentral:rRNA from 1 species
UACAGAGGGGGCAAGCGUUGUUCGGAAUUACUGGGCGUAAAGGGCGCGUAGGCGGUCUGCUAAGUCGAACGUGAAAUCCCCGGGCUCAACCCGGGAACUGCGUCCGAUACUGGCAGGCUUGAAUCCGGGAGAGGGAUGUGGAAUUCCAGGUGUAGCGGUGAAAUGCGUAGAUAUCUGGAGGAACACCGGUGGCGAAGGCGGCAUCCUGGACCGGUAUUGACGCUGAGGCGCGAAAGCCAGGGGAGCAAACGGG